CCUACGGGAGGCUGCAGUGAGGAAUAUUGGUCAAUGGACGAGAGUCUGAACCAGCCAAGUAGCGUGAAGGAUGACUGCCCUAUGGGUUGUAAACUUCUUUUAUAUGGGAAUAAAAUGUUCCACGUGUGGGCUUUUGUAUGUACCAUAUGAAUAAGGAUCGGCUAACUCCGUGCCAGCAGCCGCGGUAAUACGGAGGAUGCGAGCGUUAUCCGGAUUUAUUGGGUUUAAAGGGUGCGUAGGCGGGAUGCCAAGUCAGCGGUAAAAAUGCGGUGCUCAACGCCGUCGAGCCGUUGAAACUGGCGUUCUGGAGUGGGCGAGAAGUAUGCGGAAUGCGUGGUGUAGCGGUGAAAUGCAUAGAUAUCACGCAGAACUCCGAUUGCGAAGGCAGCAUACCGGCGCCCGACUGACGCUGAGGCACGAAAGCGUGGGUAUCGAACAGGAUUAGAUACCCCAGUAGUC
rnacentral:rRNA from 1 species